rnacentral:rRNA from 1 species
GGAUGAAGCCAGAGGAAACUCUGGUGGAGGUCCGUAGCGAUUCUGACGUGCAAAUCGAUCGUCGGAGCUGUGCAUAGGGGCGAAAGACCUAUCGAACCAUCUAGUAGCUGGUUCCCUCCGAAGUUUCCCUCAGGAUAGCUGGUGCUUGUGAUAAAAKGAGUUUCAUCCGGUAAAGAGAAUGAUUAGGGGUCCUUGGGGAUGAAAUUUCCUCAKCCCAUUCUCAAACUCUAAAUGGGUGAAAUAGCGUGCUUUCUUCACUGAAGCCUCRUUGCCG